rnacentral:rRNA from 1 species
GACAGAGGGUGCAAACGUUGUUCGGAAUUACUGGGCGUAAAGCGCGUGUAGGCGGCGGUGCAAGUCGGGUGUGAAAGCCUUGGGCUCAACCCAGGAAGUGCAUUCGAUACUGCGCCGCUAGAGUCCCGGAGAGGAUGGUGGAACUCUCGGUGUAGAGGUGAAAUUCGUAGAUAUCGAGAAGAACACCGGUGGCGAAGGCGGCCAUCUGGACGGUGACUGACGCUGAGACGCGAAAGCGUGGGGAGCAAACAGG